rnacentral:rRNA from 1 species
GGAUUGACACAUCGGUCGUGCCUUAAGGGGUAUGAACUGGUGUAGUCAAUUUCUCACCUUCUGGAGAACCGCGAUGCCCUUAAUUGGGUGUCGCGGGGAACCAGGACCUUUACUUUGAAAAAAUUAGAGUGUUUAAAGCAGGCUCGCGCUUGAAUACAUUAGCAUGGAAUAAUGAAAUAGGACGUUUGACCCUAUUUUGUUGGUUUCUAGGAUCGACGUA